rnacentral:tRNA from 1 species
GCGGGUGUAGCUCAGUGGUAGAGCCCCUGCCUUCCAAGCAGGCGGCGUGGGUUCGAUUCCCAUCACCCGCU